AAAGUCGUAACAAGGUCUCCGUAGGUGAACCUGCGGAGGGAUCAUCAAAGAAUUUAACAUAAAAAACCCAAGUGUUUUUGGGGGAGAAAGAAAGAGAUUUCUUUUUCUCCCGAGACACUUCAAACAAACGAUCGCAACUAAAAUGUGUCUUUUUCACGAGGGGAGAAAAGUGUUUGCCUGAUAUAAACAUUGAUUUGGAAAUGAGAAAUAUACAACUUUCAACAACGGAUCUCUUGGCUCUC
rnacentral:misc_RNA from 1 species